rnacentral:rRNA from 1 species
GACGGACGCUGGCGGCGUGCUUAACACAUGCAAGUCGAGCGGUAAGGCCCUUUCGGGGGUACACGAGCGGCGAACGGGUGAGUAACACGUGGGUGACCUGCCCUCAGCUCUGGGAUAAGCCUGGGAAACCGGGUCUAAUACUGGAUAUGACUCCAUGACGCAUGUUGUGGGGUGGAAAGCCUUGUGCGGCUGAGGAUGGGCCCGCGGCCUAUCAGCUUGUUGGUGGGGUGAGGCCUACCAAGGCGACGACGGGUAGCCGGCCUGAGAGGGCGACCGGCCACACUGGGACUGAGACACGGCCCAGACUCCUACGGGAGGCAGCAGUGGGGAAUCUUGCGCAAUGGGCGAAAGCCUGACGCAGCGACGCCGCGUGAGGGAUGACGGCCU